GGGCCCGCACAAGCGGUGGAGCAUGUGGUUUAAUUCGAUGAUACGCGAGGAACCUUACCAGGGCUUAAAUGUAGUGGGACAGGUCUAGAGAUAGACCCUUCUUCGGACUCAUUACAAGGUGCUGCAUGGUUGUCGUCAGCUCGUGCCGUGAGGUGUCAGGUUAAGUCCUAUAACGAGCGCAACCCCUAUCGUUAGUUGCCAGCGAGUAAUGUCGGGAACUCUAACGAAACUGCCGGUGCAAACCGUGAGGAAGGUGGGGACGACGUCAAAUCAUCACGCCCCUUAUGUCUUGGGCUUCACGCAUGCUACAAUGGCCGGUACAGAGGGCUGCAAUACCGCAAGGUGGAGCGAAUCCCAAAAAGCCGGUCUCAGUUCGGAUUGAGGUCUGCAACUCGACCUCAUG
rnacentral:rRNA from 1 species